CGGCACUCCAGAUGUUUUGGACUACACCUCCCAUGAUGCUUUGCCAGCAUUAUGGGGGAUGUAGUCCACAACAUCUGGAGUGCUG